UGGACGGCGCACGACCGGGGUGCUCAGCAUAAAUGUGCCGCGGUUGUCUGUCAGACCGGAGCCGGCAGACCACCCGAGAGCACCUAACCCAAACGCGCGGAGCAUCAGUACUCACAAUUAUGCUGAGCACCCCGGUCGUGCGUCGUGC
rnacentral:miRNA from 1 species